rnacentral:tRNA from 1 species
GCCACGAUGCCGGAGUGGAAACGGGUCGGGCUCGAGACCCGAUGCCUCUUUCGAGGCUCGCAGGUUCGAAUCCUGCUCGUGGCG